GCUUCCCACCCGCGAAGCGUCUGACCCACAGCUAUUCCACACCAGCCUCCUUGGGGACAUUCAGCCCUGGCCGGGUGCGAAGGGAUUCAGUAUACGGACGCGUUUCUGCCUUGGUCCGUACUGGUACAACUGGCCUCCAAUUAGAGAUCCCCAAACGGUCUCCCAGGGGGCAUGUGCAUGCCACCGAGUACAUGUGAGACUCAAGAGAGUCUGAGGGAGUCCUCUCCUUCCACCUUGUGGGACCUAGAACUAAGCUCAGGAGGUCAGGCCUGGAAUUAAGCUAAAGGCUUAACCUUUAGCUGCUAAGCCAUCUUGUCAGCCCUCGAACCUUCACCUGGCAUUGGAUGGAGAAAAUGACAGAGCCCCACAUAGGA